rnacentral:rRNA from 1 species
CAGAACGAACGCUGGCGGCAUGCCUAAUACAUGCAAGUCGAACGAACUCUUCGGAGUUAGUGGCGCACGGGUGCGUAACGCGUGGGAAUCUGCCCCUUGGUUCGGAAUAACAGUUGGAAACGACUGCUAAUACCGGAUGAUGACGAAAGUCCAAAGAUUUAUCGCCAAGGGAUGAGCCCGCGUAGGAUUAGCUAGUUGGUGAGGUAAAGGCUCACCAAGGCAACGAUCCUUAGCUGGUCUGAGAGGAUGAUCAGCCACACUGGGACUGAGACACGGCCCAGACUCCUACGGGAGCAGCAGUAGGGAAUAUUGGACAAUGGGCGAAAGCCUGAUCCAGCAAUGCCGCGUGAGUGAUGAAGGCCUUAGGGU